UCUGCCCAGAUAAGUGCUGCAGGUAUAGCUACUGUGACACAUGUGCUCCAAUAGGUGGCAGAGAGGAGAGAGGUUAUUUCUAUGCUGAGUAUUCUGAUUUAUGAACAUCUAACAUAGCCUAACAUU